GUGUCAGCAGCCGCGGUAAUACGGGGGGUGCGAGCGUUGUCCGGAUUCACUGGGCGUAAAGGGCGCGUAGGCGGCUGACUCAGUCUGGUCUAUAAGGUGUGGGCUUACCCCGCACAUGGAUUGGGGACGGGUUGGCUGGGGGUCGGUCGAGGGAAGCGGAAUGCCGGGUGUAGUGGUGAAAUGCGUAGAGAUCCGGCGGAACACCGGUGGUGAAGGCGGCUUCCUUGGCCGAACCCGACGCUGAGGCGCGAGAGCGCGGGGAGCGAACCGGAUUAGAUACCCCCGUAGUCC
rnacentral:rRNA from 1 species